AGAGUUUGAUCAUGGCUCAGGACGAACGCUGGCGGCGUGCUUAACACAUGCAAGUCGAACGGAAAGGCCCUUCGGGGUACUCGAGUGGCGAACGGGUGAGUAACACGUGGUUGAUCUGCCCUGCACUCUGGGAUAAGCCUGGGAAACUGGGUCUAAUACCGGAUAGGACCGCAUGCUUCAUGGUGUGUGGUGGAAAGCUUUUGCGGUGUGGGAUGGGCCCGCGGCCUAUCAGCUUGUUGGUGGGGUAAUGGCCUACCAAGGCGACGACGGGUAGCCGGCCUGAGAGGGUGUCCGGCCACACUGGGACUGAGAUACGGCCCAGACUCCUACGGGAGGCAGCAGUGGGGAAUAUUGCACAAUGGGCGCAAGCCUGAUGCAGCGACGCCGCGUGGGGGAUGACGGCCUUCGGGUUGUAAACCUCUUUCAAUAGGGACGAAGCGCAAGUGACGGUACCUAUAGAAGAAGCACCGGCCAACUACGUGCCAGCAGCCGCGGUAAUACGUAGGGUGCGAGCGUUGUCCGGAAUUACUGGGCGUAAAGAGCUCGUAGGUGGUUUGUCGCGUUGUUCGUGAAAACUCACAGCUUAACUGUGGGCGUGCGGGCGAUACGGGCAGACUAGAGUACUGCAGGGGAGACUGGAAUUCCUGGUGUAGCGGUGGAAUGCGCAGAUAUCAGGAGGAACACCGGUGGCGAAGGCGGGUCUCUGGGCAGUAACUGACGCUGAGGAGCGAAAGCGUGGGGAGCGAACAGGAUUAGAUACCCUGGUAGUCCAA
rnacentral:rRNA from 1 species